ACGACUGCUAAGACUGGAUAGGAAGAUAAAAGGCAUCUUUUAUCUUUUAAAAGACCUAGUAAUAGGUAUGCUUUAGGAGGGGCUUGCGCCAUAUUAGUUAGUUGGUAGGGUAAUGGCCUACCAAGACGAUGAUGUGUAGCUGGACUGAGAGGUUGAACAGCCACAUUGGGACUGAGACACGGCCCAAACUCCUACGGGAGGCAGCAGUAGGGAAUUUUCGGCAAUGGAGGAAACUCUGACCGAGCAACGCCGCGUGAAUGACGAAGUACUUCGGUAUGUAAAGUUCUUUUAUCAAGGAAGAAAAGCAAAUGGCGAACCAUUUGUUUGCCGGUACUUGAUGAAUAAGCCCCGGCUAAUUAUGUGCCAGCAGCCGCGGUAAGACAUAAGGGGCAAGUGUUAUCCGGAAUUAUUGGGCGUAAAGGGUGCGUAGGCGGUCUAGUAAGUCAGUGGUGUAAUGGCAACGCUUAACGUUGUCCGGCUAUUGAAACUGCUAGACUUGAGUUAGAUAGAGGCGAGUGGAAUUCCAUGUGUAGCGGUAAAAUGCGUAAAUAUAUGGAGGAACACCAGAGGCGUAGGCGGCUCGCUGGGUCUUAACUGACGCUGAGGCACGAAAGCGUGGGGAGCAAACAGGAUUAGAUACCCUGGUAGUCCACGCCGUAAACGAUGAGUACUAAGUGUCGGGUUAAACCGGUACUGAAGUUAACACAUUAAGUACUCCGCCUGAGUAGUACGUACGCAAGUAUGAAACUUAAAGGAAUUGACGGGACUCCGCACAAGCGGUGGAUCAUGUUGUUUAAUUCGAAGAUACCCGAAAAACCUUACCAGGUCUUGACAUGUUUUUGCAAAAUGAUAGUAAUAUCGUGGAGGUUACCAGAAACACAGGUGGUGCAUGGGUUGUCGUCAGCUCGUGUCGUGAGAUGUUAGGUUAAGUCCUAAAACGAGCGAAACCCUUAUCGUUAGUUGCCAGCACGUUAUGGUGGGGACUUUAACGAGACUGCCAAUGAUAAAUUGGAGGAAGGUGAGGAUCACGUCAAAUCAGCAUGCCCCUUAUGACCUGGGCUACAAACGUGAUACAAUGGCUGUUACAAAGGGUAGCUGAAACGCAAGUUCUUGGCCAAUCCCCAAAAACAGUCCCAGUCCGGAUUGAAGUCUGCAACUCGACUUCAUGAAGUUGGAAUCGCUAGUAAUCGCGAAUCAGCAUGUCGCGGUGAAUACGUUCUCGGGGUUUGUACACACCGCCCGUC
rnacentral:rRNA from 1 species